rnacentral:lncRNA from 1 species
UUCUUUUUCGACCAGGCGCUCCAGAAUUGCUUUUUCAUAGAAGACGUCCUGGGAAGCUUGACGGUAGACUCGAACAAGACUCAGCAACUGUUCGGCUUUCUGAAGUACCAGAAUUACUCCAGGUUAGUGCCUGUUGACAACUCAUCGUCAGACACUCCAAAGCUCCUAGUGAUCGGAAUUACCUCUGCAGGAGCUGCUGUAGCCAUUGUAACUUUUGCGUUGCUUUUCACGAUCCUGCAUCGAAGGAGGGUCAUGCUCGACGAACUAAACAGUUUCCUUACCGGUGUACAAGCUUCGCCUUACAGGUUCUCGUUCAGCAGCCUAUACU